AACCCGUGAUGUGGACAAUCUCUUUGAUAUUCUCUACAUCUCUCCCAUGCAUCUUUAAGAUCUUCGUCUUCCUUUUCUUUGAAAUUUCUUAUCUUGUUCCUUAAGAGGUU
rfam:Eutrema salsugineum unplaced genomic scaffold scaffold_3, whole genome shotgun sequence.